GGUUUUUUUGCCAUCCGGUCUGUUUUUCUUUUGCCCCUCCACCCCCCCUUUUUCUUUUUUUGCAAACCCACCUGUUUUUUGAACCCAAACCUACUUUAUGCCACCCCCCCAUCUUUUUGCAACCCUCCCCGUUUCCUACGGACUGCGCAGCCAGCGGGAUUGUAAAGUCGGUAUGUUCGUUCAGCGCCGGGCAGCACGGCGGGGAGUCCCACCAAAGUCGUGCGCCGACGCGGGAGUUCGCUUCGAGUUUAUACGGUCGAGUGUUACGUAUACAUGGCGUUUCGCAAUACGCCUAUACGUAGGCAUUACCUAUCCCCGCUUCAUAUUAAAAUUAGCUCCGAGAGGUCAUUUCCAUAGUCUCCUCUGAACUGCCCUUGGGCAGUGCCUCCUUAUGGUGGUCGUCUGGUGGUCGUGAAGAUGAAGGCUGUAUGUCUUCUUCACGGUGAACUCUUAACUUUCUGUCCCCUGCGCACACUCAGUUGUCCCUUGGCAUUUGUCCAAAUCACCAGGUCAGUCGUGGCUGGUUCUUGGAGUCACUGCUGCUCCUUCUCAGGGACUAUCUCCUGUCCCAGUCAGCCUCAAACGUUAAGCACCACUUCUCAUCCCCUUGGGCCAUGUCUACCUCUAUUGAAACUUCCUUAACUUCAUUAUAAGCUAGAUAAUUAUUAAACAAUGCCUAUCUACAUUCAUAUAUCUACUGUAUCUACUACGGUUCUUUUGGUUCCCCGUCUCACUACAAGCCCCGUUUCUUGCAAACUCCUGUAUUUUCUGCAAACCCCCUUAUUUUUUGCAACCCCCUGUUUUCUUUCCACCUGUGUACGGAAGGGUUAAAAGCUGGAAUUUUGGUCCGUGGAUGAACACUGAGUAAGAAGUAGAUAACUAAAAAACGCAGUCAGCACAGGGAACAGGGAGUUUAUCAUCUGUUGUUUGAAAUGCUGACCGUGGGGCUAAGGAGGUUCAGCAACGUUAGGGGAGGUGGUACAUGCAAUAAUGGAGGAAUACCAGGCACCGCACAUAAUUUUGCUUACCUUGCAAAAGUCUUGCCGUUGGUUAGAGCACAGUGGAUGGGACCGAUGGAUGAGGGUAAUUUGCCGCGUGCGCAAAGCCCGUGAACCAACAGAAGGGAUGGUUACGGCAUGUGCAGCGCGCCUGGCCGGCAGGCACGUGCGUCCUGGGCUGCUUCUGAUGCAAUCGAGGCGUGUUUUGCACUCGUGGCCGCAAGCGUCGAGAGCCGUUGCUUGGCAAAUGUAUAAAAUACCGGAGUUUUCUGAAGGGCGGUGGGUCGGUGUGCGGCGAGGCCACCGUUGCCUCCGUGGGGAUGCCCACGUAAAGCUGGCACCUACCGACUGCUGGGCCGAGCUCGUGGCGCAAGACGGCACAAGAAUGUACGGAUGGUUCAUCUUCACAGUCCUUGGCUGAGCCGUGUCCCACCAUCACCGCCAACGUUCGCCAGGACAGUCAGGUCACCGUCCCCAUCAACUUCACCGGGAAGACGUUCACCUGCA
rnacentral:lncRNA from 1 species